GACAGAGGGGGCAAGCGUUGCUCGGAAUUACUGGGCGUAAAGGGCGCGUAGGCGGGAUGGCAAGUCGGUCGUGAAAUCCCUCGGCUCAACCGAGGAACGUCGAUCGAUACUGCUGUUCUUGAGGAUUGCAGAGGAGACUGGAAUUCCCGGUGUAGCGGUGAAAUGCGUAGAUAUCGAUCGGAACACCCAUGGCGAAGGCAGCUCGCUGGCCUGCAACUGACGCUGAGGCGCGAAAGCGUGGGGAGCAAACAGG
rnacentral:rRNA from 1 species